CUUUUCCUCGUGAGCCUCUCAUGUGAGCAGAUGUGAGAUGCAGUUUCGGAAGAUUCAAGGCACCGAAAUGAGAGAGAUUAAGGUCAGAGAAGCUGAAGGCAAUUGAGAGUGACGUCUGAAACAGGGUUCAUCUGCAAAUGUCCUGGUUCAUUUGAUGUACAUGUAUAUUAGUUCCUUGGCCAGGUUUUCUUCCCUUUGUUCUGCUCUUGUUCCAUGUGAGUUCCUUUCCUGGAUGAAUCGGCUGAAGUGAGAACUAUUCUUGAACUGUCUCAACUCUUCAUAUAACUGCGGUGUGGAGUUGGACUGGCGAGCCUCCUUUA